UAUUUUGUUUAGUAGUGAUGAAAGAUGGGUUUAAAAUAUACAGAAAUGGGAGAAAAUUAAUUAGAGAAAAUGUGAGGAUUUUAUAAUUGAUAACAUGUUCUUAAUUUUAUUUGCACAAGCAGUGUUCACAGCCUUAUUCUGAAGUGACCACUUUUCUUCUCUUUGAGGCACUACCUGGCAGCACAAUCUAAACCUGUAUCAUCUGCUGUGGUCCCAGUUACUCAGGAGGCUGAGGCAGGAGGAUCACUUGAGCCCAGGAGGUUGAGGCUGGAGUGAGCCAUGACUGUACCACUGCAUUCCAGCCUGGGUGACGGAGUGAGGCCCUAUCUGGCUGCCAGUGAGUUCUGUCAUGCAUCAGACUUUGGACCUCAGAAUUUUCACCUGGAACAUGAGAGGGAACUGCAACAUGGCCCUCAUGGUCACGCUCAAGGAUCAAAACGACGGAAGGCAGGCAACAAUCUGUGUUAGAGGCACCGCUGAGCUGCAGGAUGCCUGCUACUAAAAGCCUUCACAAGCAGAAAUGAAACAAACCUGCCCUAA
rnacentral:sRNA from 1 species